UACGCAGCCGCCGCCGGCUUCUAUCAAAGUUGGCUAUAGGGCGCCAGCUGCUACCGCGUGGGCUGCGCAUCCUCUUCCACCUCUUCUCUCUUUCAUCCUCCAAUGAGACCUAUUGGGUUGUAUUUCAGGUCUUAAAGCUUAAUCAAGUGGAUACUCAAUCAGGAGGUUCUGCACGUGUAUGUUCAAGUCCAGCUCUGCACAUAAUCGCAUCCGAAGGAUUCAUCGCCGUUCAAAGGACGAAGCUCAAGACCAGUACGAUCAAGAAUCUGUUGCCAUCAAUUAUGUCUCAUGUGCAUGUGCUAGCUGCUUGAAGAAAUUCAUCUCUGUCCUGAACGGCGUAUACUGUACUAACACAUCUAUGCGGAAUCAAUCAACCUGCUUGGGAAGUCAGCUUGGCUAUGUGUACGUAACGUGCAUGUGUGUUGGCCCCAUAUUUUCCCUGUGGAUACUGAGAUGCAUGGUACCACUGUGGAGAUCAACGAUGACGUCGUCUAUGUCUAUCAAUGUGAUUGGCAAUCACCAGAGAUGGAGAAACGCGCCAACGAGUCCGCCUACUUCCACGAGCCCUUAUUAACCACCAUGCCUACAGCAGCAUCAUUUGACUUCCGCAAACUCUUAUCCAAUUUUAGCCAGCCCGCUGAACACACCAGGUAAAUAUACACUGGUCAUACCCCGGUAAAGAUAAAGGGAUAAGCAACUUUUGGCAAUGCUACAAGAAAAAGAGAGAUGAUGUGACCACCUUUAGGAACGACCAUGACUACAACAUGUUGCAGAGUGAUAAAGUUUCUACACGCGAUGUCAUUAAAAGAUUGUGAAUUUGGACGAUAUGACCCUUCUUUUCAUAUGCCAAAUUUGAUAGGUGUAUACAGUGUGGCAUGUGUGUAUGCAUCACAUUACGAAGAAGUGAUGACCAAAUAAUAUCCCUGAUACAACAAAGGAUAUGGUUGAUUUUGCUACCUUUCAAUAUGGGAGAUGACAGCAGGACAUGAUUGGCACUACAGGCGUGAUUGGAAGUGAGAGAGUAGAAGAAGCCAUUGACAGACUAUAUAAAUAAUAUGCUUGAUACUAGGUAAUUAUGACUAUUUUCCAAUUUUCUUUCUUCAUUUCCAAGUUCAUGAUGUGUGAUGUGUCAGCGGGUAAGAUGCAACU